AAACCGAAACAGGGUUUUCGUGUUUCGUGUUUUACACAUUUUGAAAUGAAAUAGUGUAUAUAAGAAAAAGCAACGCUGGACGCACCCAACCGGCACCCCAAUCAAAUUCAAGUCUCAGAAUGUUUCGAACUCACGUGCCACAACAAAGACGAAUAGCACCAACGAAAACCAGGUGUUAAAAUAUCAUACAAGUAUGACAAGAAAUAAUAAUAUGUAGCAAAGUAUUUGUGAGCGUUUUUCAAAAUUUCCCAGGACAAAGGCGACAACCGAUGAACCAGCUACGAAAUGCAUUGCGUGUUUCCAAAGUGAAGAGCAAAAAUUAGGGGAAAUUGAUAUUAAGAAAUUGCAUGAAAUGUUUAAAUGAAGCGUAAAAAUAAACACGCCCGUCUAAUGGACUGCCUGAUUGCAGUCGUUGGGAGCCCACAUUUCACAUUUCACAGGCAAUGGCCCCACCCUGAGUCCAUAUGACCCCAGCUUACGUGAAAUGUGUGUUAAAAAUUCUUGGAAAACUAAUCAAUGUCAAAUGUAUUUUGAUUGUGUCGAACCGACGAUGGCGCCUUACGACAAGCGACAACACGAACUGAGCAAAGCACCGCCCGCGAGCUUGACUGCAACAAUUUGAGCCGUCGGGUUGGCUAUCCAGUGAGCAGACGAGCGCGUGAUUAGGAGAAAUUAGAAAAUAAUUUGCUUUGUUGCUUGUAAUCCGCGGCCAUAAAUUUCUAGAGACAUGUGCUGCAUAAAGGAGUGCCGGCAGCUCCUGGCGCUGCGAUGUCAACAAUGGUAACUUUACUAUCUUUGGUCAACGCUUUUAAAAUUUUACUUCCAAAUGUUCGUCAGUAUAAAUCAAAUUAUGUUUCUAUGAUAAAUCACCGAAACUCAACAAUAGAAAUUUAAAAGAAAAAGCGUUGAGCCUUGUAAUAGGCACACAUUCGGAUGCUACAUUUAAGCCGUGCACAUUUUAUUAAUUUUGAACUUUAAGGCAUUUUCCAUAGUGCAGAUCUAAUGAAAGAAACUAAAUCGUUUAAUACGAAAAGAAAUUACAAUACAUUUUUCUCUAUGCCUUUAAAACACAACGUAAAAUAGGCAAAGCAAGAACACAAGCCGAGCAGUAGCAGUAGAGACUCGUUCUCACGGGGCUUUUGAUGUAUUUGCAAGCAAAUGGAGUUGAAUUAAAUGAAAUACUGACAUAUCAUGAAAAUUCGGUUGACAUUGAGUUGAAGUCAAGGGUCGCGUCGUCGCCACGACGUAAUUUCCACCCUGGCCCCAGCAGCAGCAGCUGGCAAAUUGACAUUUCUACUUAACAAUCGGCGCAGAGCAAUUCAAUUUUAAAUCGGGUUUCGAGCUGCUUCUCUGCAGCAAC